rnacentral:lncRNA from 1 species
AGCUGAGCCGCCAGUGUGUCUUUCCUCCCCAGCCUCCAGGGUGUAUCUUGUUGCUACCUUUAAACAGGUCAUGGGGGGUAAGUGAGGCUGCAUGAUUGGGCCCUAACCCAGCAGGACUCGCGUCUCUCAGAGGAUUGGAGAGAGGAGUCUGCAGGAUUCACCAACAAAGAAGGCGCAGGCGAGGAUGCAGGGAAAAGGUUGGCCCGGCAAGAAGCACGGCCUCAGAGGAAACCAACCUGUGGCACCCUGAGCUCAAUUCCUGCCUCCAGAAUCGCAGGAAAAUGAAUUUCUGUUGCUUAAGCUGCCUGGUCUGUCAUACUGCAUCAGGACAGUGGGAGCUGACCAAAGUUUAUACGUGUUAUUAUACUUCGGGGCAUAAACAUAACAUGAGCCUGUGCUCACCGAACAACUCACCGCAACGGAGGAGCCAAGGGGACUCAAGAAGAACCAAGUCAGAACCCUGUGACAAAUGCUACAGUCCCUGGAGGAGAGGCACCGUAGAACACAGCUGACCGGGGCUCCUGAGGGUGGUGGAGGUCGCGAAAAUCAAGGAGACACAGAGACUGCGUGUCCGGAGAUGAGAAGGAGACUCCAUGCGUAAUUGACCUGGGCCGGAUGCUGAAAGACAACACAACCAAAGCCAAAGAAGUCCCAGCACCGUGUGAAGUCCACUUCCCACGACGUUACAAGGUCCACUUCGCACUUGUGACAAGCUCCACGUGAUGCGUUCACAGUAAGUCAAAUGAUGCGGGGCACAGGGAUCUCAGUCUCCUCCGCAACUGGGCAUCUAAGUCUACUCAAAAGGGAAAGGUACCAAGAAUAUUCUCUCCAGAGAUGCCUCACCAUUUUUCUUUAAAAAGUAUUUUUUCAUCUUUUAUCUUCCUCCAAG